rnacentral:rRNA from 1 species
GUGGGGAAUAUUCCGCAAUGGACGAAAGUCUGACGGAGCAACGCCGCGUGAGUGAUGAAGGUUUUCGGACUGUAAAGCUCUGUUGUUUAGGACGAAAGUGCCUGUUGCGAACAGUUACAGGUAUUGACGGUACUAAACGAGGAAGCCACGGCUAACUACGUGCCAGCAGCCGCGGUAAUACGUAGGUGGCAAGCGUUGUCCGGAAUUAUUGGGCGUAAAGAGCAUGUAGGCGGAGAUUUAAGUCUGUUGUGAAAAUGCGGGGCUCAACCCCGUAUUGCGAUGGAAACUGAAUUUCUUGAGUGCAGGAGAGGAAAGGGGAAUUCCCAGUGUAGCGGUGAAAUGCGUAGAUAUUGGGAGGAACACCAGUGGCGAAGGCGCCUUUCUGGACUGUGUCUGACGCUGAGAUGCGAAAGCCAGGGUAGCGAACGGGAUUAGAUACCCCAGUAGUCC